rnacentral:rRNA from 1 species
UACGUAGGGGGCAAGCGUUGUCCGGAAUCAUUGGGCGUAAAGCGCGUGUAGGCGGCUCGAUAAGUCUGCUGUGAAAGUCCAGGGCUCAACCCUGGAAAGCCGGUGGAAACUGUCGAGCUAGAGUCCGGAAGAGGCGAGUGGAAUUCCUGGUGUAGCGGUGAAAUGCGCAGAUAUCAGGAGGAACACCAAUGGCGAAGGCAGCUCGCUGGGACGGUACUGACGCUGAGACGCGAAAGCGUGGGGAGCAAACAGG